rnacentral:rRNA from 1 species
UACGAAGGGGCUAGCGUUGCUCGGAAUCACUGGGCGUAAAGGGUGCGUAGGCGGGUCUUUUAAGUCAGGGGUGAAAUCCUGGAGCUCAACUCCAGUAACUGCCUUUGAGACUGCAUCGCUUGAAUCCAGGAGAGGUGAGUGGAAUUCCGAGUGUAGAGGUGAAAUUCGUAGAUAUUCGGAAGAACACCGGUGGCGAAGGCGGGUAGCUGGGCCGACACUGACGCUGAUGCGCGAAAGCCAGGGAGCGAACGGG